rnacentral:rRNA from 1 species
UACGGGGGGAGCAAGCGUUGUUCGGAUUUACUGGGCGUAAAGGGCGCGUAGGCGGUCAGCACAAGUCAGUUGUGAAAUCUCCGGGCUUAACUCGGAAAGGUCAACUGAUACUGUGCGACUAGAGUGCAGAAGGGGCAACUGGAAUUCUCGGUGUAGCGGUGAAAUGCGUAGAUAUCGGGAAGAACACCAAUGGCGAAAGCACUCUGCUGGGCCGAAACUGACACUCAGAGACGAAAGCUAGGGGAGCGAAUGGG